rnacentral:tRNA from 1 species
GCCCGGGUGGCUCAGUGGUUGAGCGCCUGCCUUUGGCUCAGGCAGUGAUCUCGGGAUCCUGGGAUUGAGUCCCACAUCGGGCU